UAGUAUCCGACGAACUACUAAUCAUACACUAAGCAACCUCUACCGUUUUCAUAGCCAUCAUGGAAUCCACUUCCCAAACUAAUCAACUCAUUCUUCACUCUUCUUCCUCUUCACUUCCGCGCAAGAAUUAUGAUGUCUUUUUGAGCUUUAGAGGUGAAGACACACGAAAAUCCUUUACGGAUCAUCUCUUUGCGGCACUGUGCCGGGCUGGAGUUUACACUUUCAGAGAUGCAGAAGAGCUCCGCAAAGGAGAGGACAUCUCCACUGACCUCUUUAGUGCUAUUCAAGAAUCGAUGGUUUCUAUCAUCGUGUUCUCCAAAACAUAUGCUUCCUCUCGCUGGUGUCUUGAGGAGGUUGUGAAGAUAGUGGAAUGUAAAGAAAAGGCAAAGCAGGUGGUUCUUCCAGUGUUCUAUGAUGUGGAUCCUUCUGAGGUCCGCAAUCAAACGGGUGAGUUUGGUGUUGCAUUGGCUCUACAUCAACAACGAUUCGGGACAGAAAAAGUUAGCCAAUGGAAAACAACAUUAACUAAGGUUGCAAAUUUUUCUGGAUGGGACUUACGCAACAUUGCUGACGGGUAUGAAUCAACAUUUAUUGACAAUAUUGUAGAAAAUGUUCUACAAGUAGUGAACCCUACAUACUUUGAUGUCCCAAAAUAUCUAGUUGGAAUUCAUGCUCGUGUUAAAGAAGUACUUUCUUUAUUAAAAAGUGAAGCAGAUGGUGAUGUUCGUAUGAUUGGGAUUUAUGGCAUGGGCGGGGUAGGAAAAACAACCCUAGCAAAAGCUGUAUUUAACCAAAUUUAUAGAUCAUUUGAUGGUAGUUGCUUUCUUGGAGAUGUUAGACAAGAAUGUGUAGAUAGAGGGUGUGUAGGAUUACAACAUUUGCAAGAGAAGCUUCUUUCUGAAACUCUCAAUGGAAAGAGAUUGAAAGUUGAUCAUGUUGAUCAAGGAAUUAGUUUGAUCAAAAGAAGACUUGGACUGAAAAAAGUUUUCAUUGUUGUUGAUGAUGUAGAGGAUAAGAGUCAAUUAGACGCAUUGGUUGGAGAACGAGAUUGGUUUGGUCCAGGUAGUAGAAUUAUCAUCACAACUAGAAAUGUUGAUUUUUUAAAUGGCCUUAGAAGAGAUUGUGAGAAGUAUAAUGUUGAAGUCUUAAGUCUUGAGGAAUCUUUGCAACUCUUUAGUUGGCAUGCUUUUAAGAAGCCAAGUCCGGAGGAGGCUUUUAUGGAACUAUCAAACAUGAUAGUAAGUUAUGUUAGUGGACUCCCUUUGGCACUUACCACUCUAGGCUCACAUUUUUGGACAAGAUCAUCAAUUCAAGAAUGGAUAGAUGACUUUGAGAAGUUAAGAAGGAUUCCUCAUAAUGAUAUUUUUAAUAUUCUUAAAAUUAGUUAUGAUGCACUUGAUGAUGAUACUCAAAGAAUUUUCCUUGAUAUUGCUUGUUUUUUCACCCAUGAGAAAGGAUAUAUUAUUGAGAUAUUGAAUGGUUGUGGUUUCUAUGCUCAAAGUGGAAUUCGAACUUUAAUUGGUAGAUACUUGUUAGAAAAAAGUCUUAGUAUGCAUGAUUUAGUUCGAGAUAUGGGAAGAGAAAUUGUUCGCAAGGAAUCUCCUAUGCAGCCUGAAAAAAGAAGUAGAUUAUUUUUGGCUGAUGAAGUUUCGGAUGUUCUCACAAACAACAAGGGCACAGACGCAAUUGAAACAAUGAUCAUAAAAUUGUCAAACGAAGUGCCUUUGAGUUCCAAGGUAUUCUCAAAAAUGACUAAGUUAAGAGCACUCAAAAUCUUAGACAUGAAUGUCAAGGGAUCUUUGAAAUACUUGUCCAAGGAGCUUAGAUUUCUUUAUUGGCAUGGUUGCCUGUUGAGUCGCAUAUCAUCCGAUCUUUGCUUGGAAAAACUGGUUAUCUUAAAAAUACAAGAGAGCAAUAUUAAAGAAUUUCAACCCAAAUUGCAGAAUUUUAGGUGCUUACAGAGUUUAUGGUUGGAAUCUUGCAAGAAACUUAAAAGAGCUCCAAACUUUGUUGGAGCACAUAGUCUAAAGGAGUUAUACAUUGAUGGUUGUUCAAAGUUGGUUAAAUUGCCAAAAUCAAUAGGAGACUUAAAAAAUCUUAAUUCCUUAUAUUUGAAGGGCUGCAAGAAUCUCAAUGCCCUUCGUAGUAGCAUUUGCAACUUGAAGUCUCUUAAGCUUCUUGUUCUGCAAGGGUGUUCUAAGAUAAAAGAAUUGCCGCAAUCAAUUGGAGAUUUAGAAAACCUUGUUGCGUUAUAUUUGAGUAAUUGCAAGAAUCUCAAUGUGCUUCCUAGUAGCAUUUGCAACUUGAAGUCUCUUACACGUCUUAAUUUGGAAAGUUGUUCCAAGGUAAAAGAAUUGCCGCAAUCAAUUGGAGAUUUAGAAAACCUUGUUGAGUUAUGUUUGAGUAAUUGCGAGGAUCUCAAUGGGCUUCCUGAUAGCAUUUGCAACUUGAAGUCUCUUAAGGAUUUUGUUCUGCAUGGGUGUUCCAAGAUAAAAGAAUUGCCUCAAUCAAUUGGAGAUUUAGAAAAUCUUAUUGAGUUAAAUUUGAGUAAUUGCAAGGAUCUCAAUGCGCUUCCUAGUAGCAUUUGCAACUUGAAGUCUCUUACGCAUCUUGAUCUGAAAUGGUGUUCCAAGAUAAAAGAAUUGCCGCAAUCAAUUGGAGAUUUAGAAAACCUUGUUGGGUUAUAUUUGAGUAAUUGCGAGGAUCUCAAUGGGCUUCCUGAUAGCAUUUGCAACUUGAAGUCUCUUAAGGAUUUUGUUCUGCGUGGGUGUUCCAAGAUAAAAGAAUUGCCCCAAUCAAUUGGAGAUUUAGAAAAUCUUGUCAUGUUAAAUUUGAGUAAUUGCAAGGAUCUCAAUGCGCUUCCUAGUAGCAUUUGCAACUUGAAGUCUCUUACGCAUCUUAUUUUGCAAAAUUGUUUGAAGAUAAAAGAAUUGCCUAUUGACUUGGGAAAAUUGAAGUUGCUAAAUUUCCAUGAUGCAAGUAUGACGUCCGUGACAUAUGUAUCCACUUCUUGUGGAUCUUUGAGACAUCUCAAGUGUCUGAAACUAGUGCCGCACCAUUCCGCUGUUGGUGGGCAUUAUAAUGAGAGAUGUAUUGGGCAUUUGGAAUUUCCAAACACUAAUUUAUUAUGUUCCUAUGAAAUGCUAAGUGCUCCUUACCAGUACAUGCAACAUUUAGAUCUUAAAAUUGGUGAUGAGAGAUUAUCCUUAUUGACAUGGUUAGAUCUAAGCUAUAGUGACUUUGAUACCCUGCCCUUUAACCUUUCUCAUCUUUCCAAUCUACAAGGCCUUCAUUUGGGCAACUGUCCCAACCUUUCGGUGAUUAAAGACGAUGAUCUUCCACUUAGCCUAUAUAGUUUCACAGUAUAUAAUUGUCCCUUGUUGAAAAGUAUACAAGAUGUAUCUGGGUUAUUAAGGCUAGAGGAAUUGUAUCUUGGCGGGUGUAGUAAUUUGAAUGAGGUUGUAGGCGUUGAGAAUCUGGUUAAUUUAAAAGAUAUGAACAUAAGAGGGUGUAGCGCUCUGAGCAGUAAAUAUUGGUGUGACAACUGGUUCAAGGCACUUUUUAAAAGGCCAACCCUUACUGGAUGGGUUAGAAUGCGUGUUUCAAAAGAUAUGGUUCCACAAUACUGGCGGAGGAGCAAGCAAGUAGAUGGAGUUGGAGUUGGAGUUGAAGGACGUGGACGUUCAUGGAAGAAUAAACGGAUAUUUAUCGUUGUGAUGGUUUCAUGUUUGCUUGACCCUUGGAUUUUAUACCAACAAGAGACGAAUGGAAGAUAUGGAAUAGUGUAUGGUUCUAAGGACUUGGGAUGCUGUGUAUAUGAGCUACCCAAUAAAGUGGAAGAAGGAGAGGUGUUGAUAGAGUUUUGUCCAAAAGAUGCUGAAGAGAACUCAAGUGUUGAGACGUGUAUAGUAUAUGAAGAAGAGGGUGAGGUAUGCUUCUUUCCUAUCAACCCAAACAAGGUGCUCAAAUUCCAACCCCCUACUUUUGGCUUUGUCCCUCAACGCUGGAGAAGUGUCCCGUCCAUCCAAGACCGCAACAUUGUCGAGGUUAUUCUAACACGCCGUUAGCUCAGCUCACUCUUCACAACCUAACCUUGAGUAACUCUUUAGGCUUUGUCCCUCAACAAUCUUUGCAAUCCAACGCCGCUUCCAAAGCUCAGCUCAGAUGUUGCUGCUGCAAGGCUUUAGGGUGAUUGGUCGAACGAACUGAGCUAGCUUGGCAGAGAGAUUCAAUAUGGUUUCUUAAGAGAUGAGAAGAAGAGAGAUGAAGGGUGUGGAUGUAAAUGCAGUAGGAGAUGGUCUGGUUUUUGGGGUGUAAUUUUCCGUGUACAUUUGUGAAAAUGGUGUAUGUAGGAUAGCUCUCAUACACCGUUCAGAAAGAUGGGACUCAAAGUGUGUAGCUGAUACAUAGGAAUAUGUUAGUAGUAAAUUACUAGUUUGCAGGUAUCUUACAUUUACUACUCAAUUGAUUAACUGAUUUUAGGGUUGUGCAGCAUUUUUAAUCUCUUCUAUAUAGUCUUGUUGGCUUGUA